GACGAGUGGUGCGAGUGUUAUUCCUCGUGACUGGGCGUAUAGGGUGCGUAGGCGGUCUAAAAAGUUUCCAAUGAAAGACACAUACGUGGAGUACAUUGGUAAAACUAGUUGACUAGAGUAUGGUAGGAGAUAGCGGAAACUAUUGCAUUAGAAUUAAAAUGCGUGAGAAAACAAUAGGUAACACCAGAGGCGAAAGCGGCUAUCUAGACUAAACUGACGCUGAGGCACGAAGGCAUGGGGAUCGAAUGGG
rnacentral:rRNA from 1 species